rnacentral:rRNA from 1 species
GGAAUAUUGGACAAUGGGGGCAACCCUGAUCCAGCGAUGCCGCGUGGGUGAAGAAGGCCUUCGGGUUGUAAAGCCCUUUAGGUUGGGAAGAAGUGUAUUCGGUGAAUAGCCGAGUACAUUGACGGUACCGACCGAAUAAGCACCGGCAAACUCUGUGCCAGCAGCCGCGGUAAUACAGAGGGUGCGAGCGUUAAUCGGAUUUACUGGGCGUAAAGGGCGCGUAGGCGGAUAGGUGAGUGUGAUGUGAAAGCCCUGGGCUUAACCUAGGAAGUGCAUUGCAAACGACCUAACUGGAGUAUAAGAGAGGGUGGCGGAAUUUCCGGUGUAGCGGUGAAAUGCGUAGAGAUCGGAAGGAACGUCAAUGGCGAAGGCAGCCACCUGGCUUAAUACUGACGCUGAGGCGCGAAAGCGUGGGGAUCAAAC